rnacentral:rRNA from 1 species
GCCGCCGAUUCGUGCACUUUAAUAUUCCCUACUGCCCUGGCCGGUCGAGAACAGGAGGAAGUUAGGGCUAAAAGCCGGCUGCCCAAGAUGGCACUACAAGCAAAGCCGCGAUAGCAGGUCCCGUGCCGGUUAAGUACAACUGGCCUUUGUUGCUAUACUUCGGCGGCUAAGGAUUUGCUGGGGCCGCCUACCGAUACAGCGGCCUUAGUCGUGGAAAUCGGAGGCCGUCAUCGUCGAAGUAGGGUCUACUAUAUUAGAAGAAAGUCUAUGAGCAUGAAGAAGGACACUUCAGGGAACACGCGAAGGUUUGGCAGACGUUCAGUACCGCGUGGUGUAAUUGGUCGUAGUCAAAGCACGCGACCGUGGACCUCGAAAGGUUCGCUUGUUCCAGCUGGUACCAGGAGCACGGUGCGUUCAUAGUCCUCCUGGCUGCCUUCCGCACAAGAUCUAAUGAGUCAUAGAAGUCGAAGGUCGGUCCCCUUUCGUUCACACGCCUCGAAUAGAAGGCUUUCCUUAAAGUAGGGAUACCCUAGGGACACAAGUCGUAAGGAGAGGUAACACUACCGGACUAUAACUAGGGAACGUAUUACCCCUUUUAAAAGUAGACGUUGGGCCGGUGAUCUCUCAAACAACUCAACGGUGGACCUUCGGGUUCACAAGAGAAACUCGUGUCCCAGCGGAAACCGAAACUAGGAACCUCACCAUGGAUGUUCCACCGCUCCGUGAAGUAGGCGAGCAUGUCUCUAUGAGACGUUUAUCUACCCCUUCCUCCGUGGUGAUCUCUUAUGUCGUCACCUGUACUCUAGAAUUGUAAGCCACCACUGUCGUUUCUUCUUCGAACCCAUACCUUCCGGUGACACCUAGGUGGUAUGGGAUAGUUCCGGUCCUGAGGUUAAACAGAGGGUCCCCAGAAGAAAACCUCACGAGAGUUCAGGUACCGUGUACCGUUCCGUUCUUACUACGUGAUAGACGUGAUCCACCUUUCAAUACGAUAUAGGUGAGAGGGUGAGGCACCCUCUAACGGUAAACCAAUCGCCUUCUACCCGGUUUAGACUGAACCAGUGAUACGGCGGCACAGUCAGACGGCUAUGGUUCUUUAGAAGAACGGAAACGUACACGCAGUUGACUGGGCCUGUUCUAUAAGGAGAGGUAACUACGCGCGAUGGAAGAGUCCACACUGGAGGUACUACUUAGAGAACUUCUUUAUUAGUUGUACGCGCUGUACAACAUACUAGAGGCCUUGCCGUCUUUUAAGUGGUAACCAAGUGAGGAACAACGGGUGAUAUACCACGGUAAACACCUUAGUGACAACGCGUAGUCUAGAAGUAUAGUUGUUCGGUAGUAUAGCAUACACUACACUAGAUUAUUUACAACAGGUUAAAGAACACACGUUCACAACGUUAGUUUUAAGACGUAAUUAUGUAUAAACAAAAACAUAACAAGAAUGGAUGAGGAAGGUUACGAAAAGCAAUAUUCAAUUAUAACAGGUCGUGUUUAAAACGUACUA